UCGACUGCAUGAAGCCGGAAUCGCUAGUAAUCGCGGGUCAGAAUGCCGCGGUGAAUACGUUCCCGGGUCUUGUACACACCGCCCGUCACACCAUGGGAGUCGGAAAUGCCCGAAGCCGGUGGCCUAACCGCAAGGAAGGAGCCGUCGAAGGUGGAGCCGAUGACUGGGGUGAAGUCGUAACAAGGUAGC
rnacentral:rRNA from 1 species